CGCGGCCGAAUGGGCGCGGGGAGCCGGGAUCCCCGCUGUGUGAAAUCAGUGUGCGGACAUAGCGGGCGCUGCGGCUGCCUCGGCAGAGCCCAGCAGCACCCCGGCCAUAGGAACUAAAGAGGGCAGGUGUAGAGGGAUAUAAGGAAAGCGUUUGUUGCACUAAGAGCGGUGAGGCUGUGGCGCAGGUUUUACAGAGCCGUGCCCCGUCCCUGCGCGCAGCCCAGCUGAGGGGACGCGAGCCCUGGUGGAGCUGUGCUCCCUGCUCAGUGCGGGGGGAACCCGAGGGUUCGUUUCCCUUCCAGCUCACAGCAUUGAAAGACCAAAAGACAGCAAGUGCGAGGAAAGCCUGUGGUGACCUCAGUGUGGCCGAAUUGAGGCUGUGGAGAGGCAGGAGUGGGGCAGCUCGGGGAGGAGCCAGAAAUGAGCCUGCCCAGGUGGCACAGCUGGGGAAAGAAGCGCCGCGGUGAAUUUAUGUCAUCAGCCACGUCCAAAUAGUAACUCACCACAUAGAGUCGCACAUGGCUGCGGAAGAGACGAGGGAACGCUUUAGGAGCUGCCUAUAAAUCAGUGUGGCCAGAGGGAAGUUAAUUGAGAUCAGACAGGGCCAGAACUGUAGCUGUCACCAACUGAGGUCACAGAUGGAAUUGGCUGAAGAUGGCGAGGCACCAGGGAGCAGUCAUAGACUCCUCAGCCCACAUUUACCCGUACACAUUGUUGUCCAAGCAGAAAAUGCAACAGCGACUGCACCCUUCCACGUCUCCAAGACUGCAUAGGCUGAAACCUAGGGAGUGCCCACCCUCUUCCCUAUGAAAGUUGUCUGCUAUUGCUGCAGCAGACAUCCUCUUUCAGAGAAGCACCUCAAAGGCAAACCGAAAGCCUCCCAGGUCUAGGAGAGCUAAGAGUAAGAGCCAUGGUAGGUUCAGCUCUACAGGAGAAGGAACAAGCCAGCCCUGAAC